rnacentral:misc_RNA from 1 species
CCACCGAUGAUACGGCCAAGAGGGUACCAGCUCUCAGAGUCGAACCAGUUCCAGAAAUCAUAGAAACCCUUUUGGGUGAGGAAGAGAGUGGUUCGAUAAUUGAAGUAAGGAUCGAAUUCAUGAAUCAUGGAUUCAUAGCGAAGAACACUGAACAAACGGGUAAUGAAAGCCAGAACGUACACAAGACAGAGAAUUGAGACACGGAUCAAAAGCUCUUGUUGCUUAGUUUUGAGUUUGAGGGACUUCAGAGAGAAUGAGUUAAGCAGAUCUGACUUGAAAUUGUUCAUCGGAGAGGACACAGGUUUUGGCUUCGCAGUGCCGUUGAUGGGUUCCGUUCUUGCUAACAUUUCACAAGGAGCACGGAUUCCAAUUCUGGGAGACUGGAAUUAUUUAUAGGCCAAGUUUUCCAUCAAAUUACUUCCAACUCUACAACUGAACUGAGG